GGGGCGGGAAGCCCGCUUUCAACCCCGCGUACCCUCUGACCCCGGAAGUGCUUGCUGCGCAGGACCCCUUGAAAAAAAAUGAGGACCCGUCUUUUUUAGGUCACAAGAUUGCGCCAACCCUUACAUGGUCCUUAAAAAAAAAACCUUCUGACACUGCAGUAGUGAAAAUGAAGCGCACGAUGGGCGGAAGCUGUGAGUCCGGCAAAGUUUUAAAAUGAUGACGUAUUUUAUUAACUCUAACGGCACUGGCGGGUGACUGAAAAUACUAGUGCUGUGUAUGCGGGAUAGACAUUAUUUUCCUGCCCUACAUGAGGGGCUCGUGCGCGGAACGACAUGGGCAGCCCCGGCGGAAACUGCAGGCACAAGCCGGGACGCCGCGGGUUUAAAACAUGCGCGUGAGGUGACCAGAGCGCGUGCGCGAGGGUGUGGGGGGAUGGGAGGGGCAGCAGCCCUCUUCCGGGGGGGAGGGGCGGCGAGGCGAGGCCUGCGGAGCGGAGGAAGACAAACAUAAAGAUGAAGUGCUUAAUUCAAGGUCACACAAUGUCGGGGAUGGACCUCCAGAUUUCCUUACUGACCUGCAUUAUCUUGUGGAUACCUGAGUGAAUUCCACACCACCCAUUUUAUAGAUGAAACCACUGAGACAUGGAGCAAUUGACUGAGUAGUCACUGCCCCACCCCUGCCUGGAGCCUCACACAUGACUCGCCUCCUCUCAGUGACCACAGGAAAACAAGCUCAGGGCUCCCACUGAUUGUACAUUAUGAGACGGAGUCUUGCUAUGUUGCCCAGGCUGGUCUUGAACUCCUCACCUCAAGCGAUCCUCCCGUCUUGGCCUCCCAAGUGUCAGGAUUACGGGCAUGUGCUAUCACACCCAACCUGAUACAUUGCCUUUAUAAAUUUUUUUUUCUUUAUUCUAAAAACCAGAAAAAACAAAACUGGAUACAUGUGCAGAACAUGCAGGUGAGACGUGGUCUUGUAACACAGUGGUUAAGAAUGUGACUUUGGAGCCAGCCUGCUAGGGGCUGAAUUCUGACUCAGCCAUUUACUAACUGUGUGACCUUAGGGAGGAGGACCUGGUUGAUAGAAGAAUUUAUCUCGUAGUCUUAACAUCCACUGUAAUUCCAAACUUUGAGGACGAUAGAGAUCAGUGGGCUUUGACUGCCCAGCAUGCAGUCUCCAUUCUUAGGUGGGUUCCCAAGCCUGUAAAAUGUAAGCCUUAUGCUGCUGAGGGCCAUCUUGCCACCCUGAGGGAAACGCUGCCUGAGAAUGAAACAAGCAUAAGUAAAAGCUGAGCUGUGAGAUGGAGCAAGAUGAAGGCCACAUGACAUCUUUGGAGCACCUGGAUCUAACUGUGCCUUAAGCUAGUCUAACCCUGAACAUUUCAUCAUUUCAUUGACAUGAGCCCAGGUUUUCUUUUUUUUUGGAUGGAGUCUUGCUCUGUCGCCCAGGCUGGAGUGCAGUAGCUCAAUCUCGGCUCACUGCAAGCUCCACCUCCCGGGUUCACGCCAUUCUCCUGCCUUAGCCUCCCAAGUAGCUGGGACAACAGGCGCCCACCACCACUCCCAGCUAAUUUUUUGUAUUUUUAGUAGAGACGGGGUUUUACCAUGUUAGCCGGGAUGGUCUUGAUCUCCUGACCUCAUGAUCCGCCCGCCUCGGCCUCCCAAAGUGCUGGGAUUACAGGUGUGAGCCACUGCACCCAGCCCUCAGGUUUUCCCUUUUUUUACCCCUCCUUUUGAAAAUUUGAUGUGGAAUUUUGCCACCUGCAGCCAGAAGAGUUUUAACUAAUCAGUGCCAUAAAUUUUAUAUAGUUCUCCUUGCAAAAUGUGGAUCAGCCUUUCUCAGCAAAUCCUUUGUCAUAAAGUGCUGAAUUGUAAGUUUGUCAUGAGAAUCACAUGAGAUCAUGCAUGUGAAGAACCUGGCAUUAUCCUCCUCAUAGAAAAAAACCAGUAAAUAUUAACUACAGGAAGCAAGGAAGGAGUGGGGUGAGGGGAAGAAGAAGGGGUACUGAUUUAAAAGAACCCUGGAGUCCUAAGGAUAAUCUAGGAACCCUCAGACCCAAUCCGAUACCCCUAUUCUAAAUGCUCCUAGUGCCCUGUACCUUCCCCUCAUAAGCCUUCAUUAUCAUUGUAAUGAUAUGUUUAUGUAAUAUUUUGAUUAAUGUCUCUCCUUCACUGACCUAGCAGUUCUAGCAGGGCAGUGAUUUUGCUGUGUUGCAUCCCCAGCACCUAGUCUGGUAUGUGGCAUUCAGCAUAUGUUUAUUGAAUGAAUGGCCAUGUGGUUAUUCAGAUCCUCCUUGAUUAUUGGGGUUAGGAUUGUGGCAGAAGUGGCAAAAUCAGGGAGAGUAGUCCCUGUCCCCUCUGUAUCUUAUACACUGCCCACACUCCCAACACACAUACACAUACAGAGAAUUUUGUCUCAAUUAGAUAAUUAACUUCUGCUUGGUUGUAAACCAAACCACUGGUUCUUAAACUUUCAUUGGAUCAUUUUAUUGAAGAAUUAAAUAGUGUGGUUCUGGCCUAAUGUCUGGAAAGCCUUGCAGAGGAGUGGAUUAGGUCUUUGUGAUAAACAGGCAGCCUUCCCUGCUCCUGUGUCUUUAUAAAAUCUAUUUAACUGGAGUAGUCCACCCUCCCUCAGGCUCUUACAGGAAUAUGUUGGAGGCUGUAGGAAGGUGGGAAACCGAGAGGGAAAGGACUGGGCCGCUGGAGACUUCACUCAUUCCCUAGCAAGAAACAAAAGCAGUAAAAGGUGGCCCGAGGACAACCUGAAGCUCACUCCUUCAGCACUUUUGGCUGGAGGUCACUUGUUGGAGCCCCACUCAGAGCUCAGCACACCACCCCACCAGCAGCCUCCUCCUCCCAGCUGAGGCUGCAUUUCAUCCCUUCCCCCAGCCUGCUUUCCCUGAGAUAGGGGAGUGUUUCCCAGGGCCCAUGUGACUUCCACUGGCAAGUGACGAUUACCAAUGGUUUACUAGUCAGUGAAACUACCAAAGGCUUUUGUGCUGUAGUAAUCCUUUUCCUGUUUAAAACUCUGGGGAUUUUCUAAUGUUGCCAAUAGUUUUUCAAGUCAGCAAUUACUGUGUGGAUUAUGUAAUGGCUCGGUAUUAAAAAUAGAAAAGACUGGAGUUUGCAUCUAUUUUAACCAAAUCUUGAAAACAGAGCAAAGGGAGGGGAAGGGUGGAGAGGGAGAGACCAGAGGAGGAGGGAGAAAAAGAGAUCAUGUGACUGGAUAAGACAGCUCACAAUUCACUGUGCCUUUCUCCCACCAUUUGUGGCCCAAGGACCUGUACUCCCUCCUCAGCCUCCUCUAGGGAGGGGUCCUUGAUGAGAAUUCUGAGGACACAAGACCCCUUGUGGAUAUUUCUUAGCUCAGCCUUGGUGUGCUUACCUGCUUCUGACAAGCAAAGUGGCCAAGUAGGGGAGGGAGUUGAAUCUGAUGUCCUCCACUAAGUCCAG
rnacentral:lncRNA from 1 species